AGAGUUUGAUCCUGGCUCAGAAUCAACGCUGGCGGCAUGCCUAACACAUGCAAGUCGAGCGAGAAAGGGUAGCAAUACCUGAGUAAAGCGGCGCACGGGUGAGAAACACGUGGAUAACCUGCCUCAAAGUGGGGAAUAACACCGGGAAACCGGUGCUAAUACCGCAUAUUCUGACGAGAUCUGUGGAUUUUGUCAGGAAAGGAGCAAUUCGCUAUGAGAGGGGUCCGCGGCUGAUUAGCUAGUUGGUGAGGUAAUGGCUCACCAAGGCUUCGAUCAGUAGCCGGUCUGAGAGGACGGUCGGCCACACUGGAACUGAGACACGGUCCAGACUCCUACGGGAGGCAGCAGUGGGGAAUUUUUCGCAAUGGGGGCAACCCUGACGAAGCAAUGCCGCGUGGAUGAUGAAGUAUCUCGGUACGUAAAAUCCUUUCGACGGGGACGAAGCCGCAAGGUUGACGGUACCCGUAGAAGAAGCCCCGGCUAACUCCGUGCCAGCAGCCGCGGUAAUACGGGGGGGGCAAGCGUUGUUCGGAAUUACUGGGCGUAAAGGGUGCGUAGGCGGCUUUCUAAGUCGGAUGUGA
rnacentral:rRNA from 1 species